GGCGCAGCGGAGACACGGCACCGGGAGCGGAGGGGAAGCCCCCGCGGGGGCCCGAGGAGCUGCUGCUGUGUACCCCAAUGGCGGAGCCGAGGCCUAGUUGGGUAUAAAAAGCACAGCCAGGUGAGGAGCCACUCAGACAGGAGCGGAGUCAGGAGAGCGCGGGGAGGGUCCCUGCUGAAAAACUUUCUCUUCGACUGC